rnacentral:rRNA from 1 species
UACGAAGGGGGCUAGCGUUGCUCGGAAUCACUGGGCGUAAAGCGCACGUAGGCGGAUUGUUAAGUCAGGGGUGAAAUCCUGGAGCUCAACUCCAGAACUGCCUUUGAUACUGGCGAUCUCGAGUCCGGGAGAGGUGAGUGGAACUGCGAGUGGUAGAGGUGAAAUCGUAGAUAUUCGCAAGAACACCAGUGGCGAAGGCGGCUCACUGGCCCG